CAGGGGACUCCGCGGUGCCGGCCGACCCGGAAGCAUGUCUGUCCCUAGCGGAGGCGCGGGUGCCGUGCUGAGAGCGCCUGCCUGUGCGCCCCGAGCGGGGCUGGGACUCUUCCAAGAUGCCCACGUUCGCACAGAGACCCCGGAUCGCGGAAGCUCGCGUCUCGAAAGGCCUGUGGGUCAAGGGGGGCCAUCUCGGUGGGAUCUGGGGCGGGACGACCCCCACUGCUGAACCCUGGGCGCGGGGCAGGGUCAGAGGCUCCGCUCGGCCUCCCCCUGGAUGAGACGCGCAUGCCCGGUGUCCCCCGGCCGCCGUCGGCGUCGUGUCUUCAGUCCUUAUCGACUCCAGACUUUGGGGAUGCGUAUUAACGCCAGACUCCUGCAAAGUCUUGCCUUCAACACUCAGCCCCUGGGGAGAGACGGGUGGAGGGAUGACUGGAAACGUGGCCUCGACGUCCCUACAGAGCCCCUCCAGCGUGGGGAGGCCUAAGUACCUCAAGGUUCAGGCCCACGGAAGGAGUCGGGGGAGCGAGGCCCGGUGAUCUACGUGUGAAGGAGCUUGGACAGGACCUCACAAACGCCAGGGAGACGGCGAGGGGGUUCGUGCGUUUGUAACGUCUUGACAUCGCUGAUCCUCCCGCAGGCGGUCUCACGCCCUGCCCGUCCUGGGUUCACGGUUUUUCAUCACCUGCGGCUGUCCUGCGAUCGACCACAGCUGUGCAGGAGGGGCAGGAGGUAUCUGUUGCUGCAGUUACCGGAACCUUUGCCAGGACUAGUACAGGACCACGGGUGAGGAUGGUGGGGAAGCCUGCGUGGGGCAGGGAACGGUGAGGCAGGAAGAGGGAAGGGCAGCAGAGGCCUGAGUGGUUGCAGGUUCACACACUGAGCUGCCAGUAACUGCCCAGCUCAGACGGGCUCAAAUUCAGAAGCCACCAUUGCUCCUCACCCCCACCCCCAGGUCAGCUGUCCACUAGCUCUGCCAUGACUUGAUACUGCAGCUCAAACAGUGCCAACCAAAACCCACUCUCCUCACCGCCUGUUAUGGGUAACACGGUAUGGUUACAGCUUUACUCAUGUCCUCUUUCCCCAGGCUGGUAGCUCAGGGAUGUCUCGUCUGUGAGUUACAGCUGCACGCUCUCCAGGAAAGAAGGAAUUUCCUCUUCUCUGGAAACCCCACCACACAGCUGGUUUCUCAUUGGUGCUGCUUGCCCAUUCCCUGAGCUGUGACUGCCAGAGGAGUGGGAGGUUGGUGGUGCCUCCAGCCCAUCAGGGGCAGGCCCUGGGACCGCCUGGGAACAGGAGGACUAUGGCACAAACCGAGUGAGUGAUGGGAGCAACCCGCAGGGCUCUGCCACAUCCCUGUCUUCCUUCACUGACAUGAAACGCAGAAAAGGCAGCUUUGCCACAACACAGGAGCACGCACCGAAUGUGGCCGCCCAGGGCUCUGUCCUUGACCCUGUUGUCCAGGACUGUUUACCAAGGGCUGACAGGCACUGAGUGCCCCGUGCACCUGGCCAGACACUGCACUCAUGCAGCGGAAAGGACAGUGAACGAGACUUUGUCCCUGGCCUCCAAAGGCUUAGGGCGUAGUGGCUGUCAUGAGGCACAGUGACAAGGGCCAGGAGGGGGACCUCUUAGGGGGCCAUGCAGUGAUGGAAGCCAGAAGGAAUGAAGGCCUGCAGUGAGGAUGGAGUGGUCGGCCUGAAGCCAUCUCUAGCAAGUGGUCAGGACGCUGAUUGUUCUGCGCAGGUUGGAGGUAGGUGGUGAGUCUGAGAAAGGGGCCGGAAAGACUCCCCAGCAACUGCUGGCAAAGGGUGAAGGGCACGUUCCCACAGGAUUCAAGCCAGCUGCCUUUGGAGGGGAGACGGGCACUCAGUUUAGGCGCUCCUACAGCAGGGUCAGCAAGACAAGCAGGUUGCGGCAAGGGUCUGCGCACUGCUGUGUAAAUGUAGGGGCAUCGGGGGGCAGAAAGACCAGGGGAGAAGUGUGCAUCACCCUUGGGGUUAAGGGACAGUUGUCUGCUAGGUGUUGCUUCCUGGAGAUGGCUGAAAAGCCAGUCCAGUCUGCAGGGACCAGGCCACCACCCACCUGAUGUGGGAGCAUUUCCCCCAAUCCCUGCUGGGCUGCUGAAUCUGGGGGACAUAGGGAAGCUGAGGCUGGUGUUCUGAGUAGUGGCAGAGCUGAGCCACAGGGCAUGUCUGAGGUCAGCCCCGAGCAAAAUGGAAUAGGGACUCAGGGUGGGUCAGGUAACUGGAAAGCGGGCACUGUGCACGCAGCCCUUGAGGGGAGCCAGGGUGGGUGGGGAUCCCCCACUGUGUGCAGAAGGCAGCAGCCUUGGAAGCAGGGUGUGCUCCUCGGUGUGGUCGCUCGAUACCAGAAAAUGACUCUAAAAACUGAAGAGUGUUUGAGUUUCAUUCACACAAAACAUGGACAUCAUCUGUGAGGCUCUGUCCCAGAGAGACAGGGCCAUCCCUCAUGUCUGUUAUUGGGUUGUAGAUAAACAAAAGUAUAAAUCAAACAAACUGCAAAUUA
ensembl:lncRNA MRPL20-AS1 MRPL20 antisense RNA 1